GACGGAAGGUGCAAGCGUUUGUUCGGAAUUAUUGGGCGUAAAGCGCGUGUAGGCGGCUUUGCAAGUCGGGUGUGAAAGCCCUCAGCUCAACUGAGGAAGUGCGCCCGAAACUGCAGAGCUUGAGUGCCGGAGAGGGUGGCGGAAUUCCCCAAGUAGAGGUGAAAUUCGUAGAUAUGGGGAGGAACACCGGUGGCGAAGGCGGCCGACCUGGACGGUAACUGGACGCUGAGACGCGAAAGCGUGGGGAGCAAACAGG
rnacentral:rRNA from 1 species